GAUGAAGAACGCAGCGAAAUGCGAUAAGUAAUGUGAAUUGCAGAAUUCAGUGAAUCAUCGAAUCUUUGAACGCAUCUUGCGCUCCUUGGUAUUCUGAGGAGCAUGCCUGUUUGAGUGUCAUUAAAUUCUCAACUACACUGACUUUGAAUUGGUGUGGCUUGGAUUUGGGUGGAAAAUUGUUGUGGGCUUUUUGUAUAGUCUGCUCCCCUGAAAUUGAUUAGCGGUACCUUUGUGGAACUGUCUACAGGUGUGAUAAUUAUCUACAUCUUAGACAUCUGCUGGAAUGCUGCUUUCUAAACCUUACUUGUAUUGACAAUCUUGACCUCAAAUCAGGUAGGACUACCCGCUGAACUUAAGCAUAUCAAUAAGCGGAGGA
rnacentral:misc_RNA from 1 species